CAAUCUACAUCCCUGGAUGACAUCCCUCAUACUUUGACGAUUAGGCCUACCCAAGACCAAGAUUAAGAUGUUUUUGAGCCAACAUCAGAAAGUUUCCAAGAUAAAUCUACCAGCGAGAUCGAGACUGAUGCAAUUACUCUACCACUACUAGAAGUCACAGACUCUGAACUAGAAACACAAAGAUCAAACCAAGAACUGGAAGAACAGGAACCUGACAAUUUUGGAACAAGUGAUGUAGAUGAACCAGACUCGGAUAUUUCAUCUAAUGAAGAUCACAGUGAUCCAGCUUCAUAUGCUAACCUCAAGCUCUCUCCUGAAGACAUAAAUGUGGCUCUAAAUUUGGAAAAUCAAGACUUAUCAUCAAUAGAAUUUCCUUCAACGAGUGGAAGAAAAUUUAAUCCUCUGUGGAAAAAUUGUAUAUUGCCCAAUAACAGUGUGAAACCUAGGAAGUGGCUAGUGUACAGUA